AUCUUUGUGGUUCCUAAGUGUGAUGACUUGGUUUUUAAGCUAUUGUGUGAGACGUGCCUCCCUCAAACCUUGUAUAAUAUAUCAGCAUAUUACCUGGCUGAAG